ACGGGUGACGGGACAAGAGCCAGGCUGCUGCAGAUCAAUCCUUCCUGCACUGCCAGCCAGAUCAGUGGAAAAAUGCAUACAGUGCCUGCGGAGGACCAGUACAGCCAAUGGAGUCAGGAAACAAUACGAAGGUAUCACGUGAUGCAGAAACUGCUUGGAGAGAAUGACAGCGCCGGGAGGCUGAGGAGGAUUUUAACAUGCUUCAGAGCGACUCUUGGCGAAAAGUUCUUGCAACAUCAUGAGAUGCAGAAGAAGAUCCUUCACUGACAGUUGCAGAACCACCACUUAAAGGCCAAGACCUUUCCUUGCCACUUUCAUGUUUCUCUACAGUUAACUUUCUUUUUGAUGUUUUUUUCCUUACCACUGUAAAAUAAAAUUGCUUCUUUGAUUUUA